UUAAGUUAUUAAGGGCGCACGGUGGAUGCCUUGGCACUAGAAGCCGAUGAAGGACGUUACUAACGACGAUAUGCUUUGGGGAGCUGUAAGUAAGCUUUGAUCCAGAGAUUUCCGAAUGGGGAAACCCAGCAUGAGUUAUGUCAUGUUAUCGAUAUGUGAAUACAUAGCAUAUCAGAAGGCACACCCGGAGAACUGAAACAUCUUAGUACCCGGAGGAAGAAAAAGAAAAUUCGAUUCCCUUAGUAGCGGCGAGCGAAACGGGAAGAGCCCAAACCAACAAGCUUGCUUGUUGGGGUUGUAGGACACUCUAUACGGAGUUACAAAGGACGACAUUAGACGAAUCAUCUGGAAAGAUGAAUCAAAGAAGGUAAUAAUCCUGUAGUCGAAAAUGUUGUCUCUCUUGAGUGGAUCCUGAGUACGACGGAACACGUGAAAUUCCGUCGGAAUCUGGGAGGACCAUCUCCUAAGGCUAAAUACUCUCUAGUGACCGAUAGUGAACCAGUACCGUGAGGGAAAGGUGAAAAGCACCCCGGAAGGGGAGUGAAAUAGAACCUGAAACUGUGUGCUUACAAGUAGUCAGAGCCCGUUAAUGGGUGAUGGCGUGCCUUUUGUAGAAUGAACCGGCGAGUUACGAUUUGAUGCAAGGUUAAGCAGUAAAUGUGGAGCCGUAGCGAAAGCGAGUCUGAAUAGGGCGUUUAGUAUUUGGUCGUAGACCCGAAACCAGGUGAUCUACCCUUGGUCAGGUUGAAGUUCAGGUAACACUGAAUGGAGGACCGAACCGACUUACGUUGAAAAGUGAGCGGAUGAACUGAGGGUAGCGGAGAAAUUCCAAUCGAACCUGGAGAUAGCUGGUUCUCUCCGAAAUAGCUUUAGGGCUAGCCUCAAGUGAUGAUUAUUGGAGGUAGAGCACUGUUUGGACGAGGGGCCCCUCUCGGGUUACCGAAUUCAGACAAACUCCGAAUGCCAAUUAAUUUAACUUGGGAGUCAGAACAUGGGUGAUAAGGUCCGUGUUCGAAAGGGAAACAGCCCAGACCACCAGCUAAGGUCCCAAAAUAUAUGUUAAGUGGAAAAGGAUGUGGCGUUGCCCAGACAACUAGGAUGUUGGCUUAGAAGCAGCCAUCAUUUAAAGAGUGCGUAAUAGCUCACUAGUCGAGUGACACUGCGCCGAAAAUGUACCGGGGCUAAACAUAUUACCGAAGCUGUGGAUUGUCCUUUGGACAAUGGUAGGAGAGCGUUCUAAGGGCGUUGAAGCAUGAUCGUAAGGACAUGUGGAGCGCUUAGAAGUGAGAAUGCCGGUGUGAGUAGCGAAAGACGGGUGAGAAUCCCGUCCACCGAUUGACUAAGGUUUCCAGAGGAAGGCUCGUCCGCUCUGGGUUAGUCGGGUCCUAAGCUGAGGCCGACAGGCGUAGGCGAUGGAUAACAGGUUGAUAUUCCUGUACCACCUAUAAUCGUUUUAAUCGAUGGGGGGACGCAGUAGGAUAGGCGAAGCGUGCGAUUGGAUUGCACGUCUAAGCAGUAAGGCUGAGUAUUAGGCAAAUCCGGUACUCGUUAAGGCUGAGCUGUGAUGGGGAGAAGACAUUGAGUCUUCGAGUCGUUGAUUUCACACUGCCGAGAAAAGCCUCUAGAUAGAAAAUAGGUGCCCGUACCGCAAACCGACACAGGUAGUCAAGAUGAGAAUUCUAAGGUGAGCGAGCGAACUCUCGUUAAGGAACUCGGCAAAAUGACCCCGUAACUUCGGGAGAAGGGGUGCUCUUUAGGGUUAACGCCCAGAAGAGCCGCAGUGAAUAGGCCCAAGCGACUGUUUAUCAAAAACACAGGUCUCUGCUAAACCGUAAGGUGAUGUAUAGGGGCUGACGCCUGCCCGGUGCUGGAAGGUUAAGAGGAGUGGUUAGCUUCUGCGAAGCUACGAAUCGAAGCCCCAGUAAACGGCGGCCGUAACUAUAACGGUCCUAAGGUAGCGAAAUUCCUUGUCGGGUAAGUUCCGACCCGCACGAAAGGCGUAACGAUUUGGGCACUGUCUCAACGAGAGACUCGGUGAAAUCAUAGUACCUGUGAAGAUGCAGGUUACCCGCGACAGGACGGAAAGACCCCGUGGAGCUUUACUGUAGCCUGAUAUUGAAAUUCGGCACAGCUUGUACAGGAUAGGUAGGAGCCUUUGAAACGUGAGCGCUAGCUUACGUGGAGGCGCUGGUGGGAUACUACCCUAGCUGUGUUGGCUUUCUAACCCGCACCACUUAUCGUGGUGGGAGACAGUGUCAGGCGGGCAGUUUGACUGGGGCGGUCGCCUCCUAAAAGGUAACGGAGGCGCUCAAAGGUUCCCUCAGAAUGGUUGGAAAUCAUUCAUAGAGUGUAAAGGCAUAAGGGAGCUUGACUGCGAGACCUACAAGUCGAGCAGGGUCGAAAGACGGACUUAGUGAUCCGGUGGUUCCGCAUGGAAGGGCCAUCGCUCAACGGAUAAAAGCUACCCCGGGGAUAACAGGCUUAUCUCCCCCAAGAGUUCACAUCGACGGGGAGGUUUGGCACCUCGAUGUCGGCUCAUCGCAUCCUGGGGCUGUAGUCGGUCCCAAGGGUUGGGCUGUUCGCCCAUUAAAGCGGUACGCGAGCUGGGUUCAGAACGUCGUGAGACAGUUCGGUCCCUAUCCGUCGUGGGCGUAGGAAAUUUGAGAGGAGCUGUCCUUAGUACGAGAGGACCGGGAUGGACAUACCUCUGGUGUACCAGUUGUCGUGCCAACGGCAUAGCUGGGUAGCUAUGUGUGGACGGGAUAAGUGCUGAAAGCAUCUAAGCAUGAAGCCCCCCUCAAGAUGAGAUUUCCCAACUUCGGUUAUAAGAUCCCUCAAAGAUGAUGAGGUUAAUAGGUUCGAGGUGGAAGCAUGGUGACAUGUGGAGCUGACGAAUACUAAUCGAUCGAAGACUUAAUCAA
rnacentral:rRNA from 1 species